CAAAGAGUAGUCUAAUUUAGAAUAAAAGCUUUGGAAGCUUUAGGUUCACCCCGUGACUUUUUGA
rnacentral:tRNA from 1 species